ACGGCCCACCGUGCCGACAACGAGUAGCCGGGUUGAGAGACCGACCGGCCAGAUUGGGGCUGAGACACGGCCCAGACUCCUACGGGAGGCAGCAGUGGGGAAUCUUGCGCAAUGGGGGGAACCCUGACGCAGCGACGCCGCGUGCGGGACGGAGGCCUUCGGGUCGUAAACCGCUUUCAGCAGGGAAGAGUCAAGACUGUACCUGCAGAAGAAGCCCCGGCUAACUACGUGCCAGCAGCCGCGGUAAUACGUAGGGGGCGAGCGUUAUCCGGAUUCAUUGGGCGUAAAGCGCGCGUAGGCGGCCCGGCAGGCCGGGGGUCGAAGCGGGGGGCUCAACCCCCCGAAGCCCCCGGAACCUCCGCGGCUUGGGUCCGGUAGGGGAGGGUGGAACACCCGGUGUAGCGGUGGAAUGCGCAGAUAUCGGGUGGAACACCGGUGGCGAAGGCGGCCCUCUGGGCCGAGACCGACGCUGAGGCGCGAAAGCUGGGGGAGCGAACAGGAUUAGAUACCCUGGUAGUCCCAGCCGUAAACGAUGGACGCUAGGUGUGGGGGGACGAUCCCCCCGUGCCGCAGCCAACGCAUUAAGCGUCCCGCCUGGGGAGUACGGCCGCAAGGCUAAAACUCAAAGGAAUUGACGGGGGCCCGCACAAGCAGCGGAGCAUGUGGCUCAAUUCGAAGCAACGCGAAGAACCUUACCAGGGCUUGACAUAUGGGUGAAGCGGGGGAGACCCCGUGGCCGAGAGGAGCCCAUACAGGUGGUGCAUGGCUGUCGUCAGCUCGUGUCGUGAGAUGUUGGGUUAAGUCCCGCAACGAGCGCAACCCCCGCCGCGUGUUGCCAUCGGGUGAUGCCGGGAACCCACGCGGGACCGCCGCCGUCAAGGCGGAGGAGGGCGGGGACGACGUCAAGUCAUCAUGCCCCUUAUGCCCUGGGCUGCACACGUGCUACAAUGGCCGGUACAGAGGGAUGCCACCCCGCGAGGGGGAGCGGAUCCCGGAAAGCCGGCCCCAGUUCGGAUUGGGGGCUGCAACCCGCCCCCAUGAAGUCGGAGUUGCUAGUAAUCGCGGAUCAGCAUGCCGCGGUGAAUGCGUUCCCGGGCCUUGCACUCACCGCCCGUCAAG
rnacentral:rRNA from 1 species